GAUCCUGGCUCAGGAUGAACGCUAGCUACAGGCUUAACACAUGCAAGUCGAGGGGAAACGAUAGAGAAAGCUUGCUUUUUCUAGGCGUCGACCGGCGCACGGGUGAGUAACGCGUAUCCAACCUGCCCAUCACUUGGGGAUAACCUUGCGAAAGUAAGACUAAUACCCAAUGACGUCUCUAGAAGACAUCUGAAAGAGAUUAAAGAUUUAUCGGUGAUGGAUGGGGAUGCGUCUGAUUAGCUUGUUGCGGGGUAACGGCCCACCAAGGCGACGAUCAGUAGGGGUUCUGAGAGGAAGGUCCCCCACAUUGGAACUGAGACACGGUCCAAACUCCUACGGGAGGCAGCAGUGAGGAAUAUUGGUCAAUGGACGAGAGUCUGAACCAGCCAAGUAGCGUGCAGGAUGACGGCCCUAUGGGUUGUAAACUGCUUUUAUAAGGGAAUAAAGUGAGUCUCGUGAGACUUUUUGCAUGUACCUUAUGAAUAAGGACCGGCUAAUUCCGUG
rnacentral:rRNA from 1 species